rnacentral:rRNA from 1 species
CCUACGGGAGGCAGCAGUGAGGAAUAUUGGUCAAUGGUCGGGAGACUGAACCAGCCAAGCCGCGUGAGGGAGGAAGGUACAGAGUAUCGUAAACCUCUUUUGUCAGGGAACAAAGGCGGGGACGUGUCCCCGGCUGAGUGUACCUGACGAAAAAGCAUCGGCUAACUCCGUGCCAGCAGCCGCGGUAAUACGGAGGAGGCGAGCGUUAUCCGGAUUUAUUGGGUUUAAAGGGUGCGCAGGCGGUCUGUUAAGUCAGCGGUCAAAGCCCGGGGCUCAACCCCGGCCCGCCGUUGAAACUGGCAGUCUCGAGUUGGAGAGAGGUAUGCGGAAUGCGCGGUGUAGCGGUGAAAUGCAUAGAUAUCGCGCAGAACUCCGAUUGCGAAGGCAGCAUGCCGGCUCCACACUGACGCUGAGGCACGAAAGCGUGGGUAUCGAACAGGAUUAGAUACCCCUGUAGUC